UGGGGAAUAUUGGGCAAUGGGCGCAAGCCUGACCCAGCAACGCCGCGUGAGGGAAGAAGGUUUUCGGAUUGUAAACCUCUGUCGCAGAUGACGAAACAAAUGACGGUAAUCUGUGAGGAAGCCCCGGCUAACUACGUGCCAGCAGCCGCGGUAAUACGUAGGGGGCGAGCGUUGUCCGGAAUUACUGGGCGUAAAGGGAGCGUAGGCGGUCGAUUAAGUUGGAUGUGAAAUACCCGGGCUUAACUUGGGGGGUGCAUCCAAUACUGGUUGACUAGAGUACAGGAGAGGAAAGCGGAAUUCCUAGUGUAGCGGUGAAAUGCAUAGAUAUUAGGAGGAACAUCGGUGGCGAAGGCGGCUUUCUGGACUGACACUGACGCUGAGGCUCGAAAGCGUGGGGAGCAAACAGG
rnacentral:rRNA from 1 species